rnacentral:rRNA from 1 species
AUUGAACGCUGGCGGCAGGCCUAACACAUGCAAGUCGAGCGGAUGAAGGGAGCUCGCUCCUGGAUUCAGCGGCGGACGGGUGAGUAAUGCCUAGGAAUCUGCCUGGUAGUGGGGGAUAACGUCCGGAAACGGGCGCUAAUACCGCAUACGUCCUGAGGGAGAAAGUGGGGGAUCUUCGGACCUCACGCUAUCAGAUGAGCCUAGGUCGGAUUAGCUAGUUGGUGGGGUAAAGGCCUACCAAGGCGACGAUCCGUAACUGGUCUGAGAGGAUGAUCAGUCACACUGGAACUGAGACACGGUCCAGACUCCUACGGGAGGCAGCAGUGGGGAAUAUUGGACAAUGGGCGAAAGCCUGAUCCAGCCAUGCCGCGUGUGUGAAGAAGGUCUUCGGAUUGUAAAGCACUUUAAGUUGGGAGGAAGGGCAGUAAGUUAAUACCUUGCUGUUUUGACGUUACCAACAGAAUAAGCACCGGCUAACUUCGUG